rnacentral:misc_RNA from 1 species
GGGAAAGUUUCCAGGUGAGAAUUCCCAAGCCUUCUUGUUUAUUCAGUCCCCUCCACUUAAAUUGUUGAUGUUAUGGUUAUAGGUUUGGGUCCAAGGAAGUGGAUGCAAACUGUUGCUUUUGCAUUGUGAUAACUUUUGCAAUAAAUACCCUUUUCAUAAUAGUUUUUAUGGGAAAUAGUUUACUUGUUGGCUUGAUGCCUGUCAAUAUUGGUGUGUGUGAGUGAGCAAACCAUUGGAAUUGUACUUUUGAUUCUUUUUUCGCGAGGCAAAAAAUUUCUUCCCCCCCACCUCAAUAUAGUGACACGUGGUGAUUGUCUCACUGUUUCAGAUGAGACUCCAAGGCUUAAGC